GUGGGGAAUAUUGGGCAAUGGGGGAAACCCUGACCCAGCAACGCCGCGUGAGGGAAGAAGGUUUUCGGAUUGUAAACCUCUGUCCUUGGUGACGAAGGAAGUGACGGUAGCCAAGGAGGAAGCCCCGGCUAACUACGUGCCAGCAGCCGCGGUAAUACGUAGGGGGCAAGCGUUGUCCGGAAUGACUGGGCGUAAAGGGCGUGUAGGCGGCCGAUUAAGUCUGGAGUGAAAGUCCUGCUUUCAAGGUGGGACUUGCUUUGGAGACUGGGUGGCUUGAGUGCGGAAGAGGUAAGUGGAAUUCCCAGUGUAGCGGUGAAAGGCGUAGAGAUUGGGAGGAACACCAGUGGCGAAGGCGACUUACUGGGCCGUAACUGACGCUGAGGCGCGAAAGCGUGGGGAGCGAACAGGAUUAGAAACCAUUGUAGUCC
rnacentral:rRNA from 1 species